rnacentral:RNase_P_RNA from 1 species
GGAGCCGACCAGACGAUCGCUGGGACAGUGUGUUCCCGGAGGAAAGUCCGAACACCACAGGGCAGGGUGCUCCGUAACACGGAGUCACGGUGACGUGAAGGAAAGUGCAACAGAAAGUAAACCGCCCCGCCGUUGAGGCGGGGUAAGGGUGAAACGGUGCGGUAAGAGCGCACCAGUUCCCCGGGUGACCGGGGAAGCUUGGCAAACCCCACCCGGUGCAAGACCAAAUAGAGGAGCGUUCGAGGGCGGCCCGUCCGAGCUCCCGGGUAGGUCGCAUGAGGUAUUCGGUAACGGAUGCCCAAGAUGAAUGAUCGUCGCCCGUUGCGGGGUAACCCGCCACGGGAACAGAAUUCGGCUUAUGGUCUGCUCCAGCC